rnacentral:lncRNA from 1 species
UUUUUUAUUUUAUUUUAGUUGUGUUUGUUUGCUUUGUUACUUUGUUUUAUCUUUGUGUGUCUGUUUUAUUUUCUUAAGUUACAGAUAAAAGUGGAUUCUACUGGAUAAUUGAUGGAUACUGACUAGUGAGGGAAAUAUGCAACCUCGGAUUUGCUCCCGAGGCAACUUGGAAGUUGAUACACGCUGAGAAAGAAAAUGUUGG